rnacentral:rRNA from 1 species
AUUGAACGCUGGCGGCAGGCUUAACACAUGCAAGUCGAACGAGUGGCGGACGGGUGAGUAAUGCUUGGGAAUCUAGCUUAUGGAGGGGGAUAACUACGGGAAACUGUAGCUAAUACCGCGUACCAUAGGCUGAGCCCAAGGGGGAUUGGGUAGUUGGGGGGGUAAAGGCUCACCAAGCCGACGAUCUCUAGCUGGUAUGAGAGGAUGACCAGCACCACGGGGACUUAGACACGGCCCAGACUCCUACGGGAGGCAGCAGUGGGGAAUAUGGCGCAAUGGGGGCAACCUGACGCAGCCAUGCCGCGUGAAUGAAGAAGGCCUUCGGGUUGUAAAGUUCUUUCGGUAGCGAGGCGUUAACUACAGAAGAAGCACCGGCUAACUCCGUGCCAGCCGCCGCGGUAAUAC